GACUGAUUAGCUCAGGGGUAGAGCACCUGGAAAUCCCAGGCGGUCGUAGGUUCGACUCCUAUAUCAGCCA
rnacentral:tRNA from 1 species